AUGGAGCAGUGGGCGUACUACCUCUGCCUUCUCUUGGCUCUCCUCCUUCCUCUCCUUCUCUUCAAGCUCAACACGAAACACAGCGGUGGCAAUAGCGGCGUGCGUCUGCCACCCGGUCCGUGGCGGCUUCCGCUCAUCGGCAGUCUUCAUCACCUCGCCGGCAACCAGCUCAUGCACUGUGUCAUGGCCGACCUCGCUCACCAGCUCGACGCGCCUCUCAUGUACCUCAAGCUCGGCAAGGUGCCGGUGAUGGUGGCCACAUCCCCGGAGGCUGCCCGCGAGAUCAUGCGGACGCAUGACGUCGUCUUCGCUACGCGGCUGUUGAGCCCCACGUUGAAGAUUAUGAACUCUGAAGGGCUGGUAUUCGCUCCCUAUGGCGCCUUGUGGCGGCAGCUUCGCAAGAUUUGCAUCUUGGAGCUUCUCAGUGUGCGUCGCGUGCAGUCGUUCCGCCACAUCCGGGAGGAUGAGGUCUGCCGACUCGUGGCCGCCAUCACGGCGGCACCGUCCAUGAAGCUCAUGAACGUGAGUGAGCGAAUUGCCAUCCUCAUCAACGAUUCGGCGGUACGCGCCAUGAUUGGGGAAAGAUUCAUGAGGCAUGAGAAGUUCUUGCAGACACUCGAGGAUGCAUCGUGGCUCGCGAGAUUCAUCAGCGGCACGACACGGCGGGCCGAGGAGUACCACCAGAAGAGCUUCGAGCUCAUGGAGUACGUGAUCAAGCAACACGAGGAGCAGAGGGCAACCACCACCUCAGCGAGCGGUGUCGUGGAGGAAGGAGAGGACCUAGUGGACGCGCUCAUGAGGAUACGCAAGGAAGGUGUCCUCGACGUGCCCCUUACCAUGGGAAUGAUCAAAGCAGUUAUACUUGAACUGUUUGGUGCCGGAAGCGAGACAUCAGCAAUCACUCUUUAA
rnacentral:rRNA from 1 species